UACGGGGGGAGCAAGCGUUGUUCGGAUUUACUGGGCGUAAAGGGCGCGUAGGCGGCGCAACAGUCACUUGUGAAAUCUCCGGGCUUAACCCGGAGCGGUCAAGUGAUACUGUCGUGCUAGAGUGCGGAAGGGGCUACUGGAAUUCUCGGUGUAGCGGUGAAUGCGUAGAUAUCGAGAGGAACACCCUGGCGGCGAAGGCGGGUAGCUGGGCCGACACGUGACGGCUGAUGACGCGAAAGCCCAGGGGAGCGAACGGG
rnacentral:rRNA from 1 species